GGAAUAUUCGUCAAUGGGGGAAACCCUGAACGAGCAAUGCCGCGUGAAUGAUGAAGGCCCUAUGGGUUGUAAAAUUCUGUUGUUUGGGAAGAACUACAGAAAUAGGAAAUGAUUUCUGUUUGACGGUACCAUUCAAGAAAGCUCCGGCUAACUACGUGCCAGCAGCCGCGGUAAUACGUAGGGAGCGAGCGUUAUCCGGAUUUAUUGGGCGUAAAGCGUCCGCAGCCGGUUUAUUAAGUGUAGAAUUAAAGCCCGGGGCUUAACUCCGGUUCGUUCUACAAACUGAUAGGCUAGAGUGUAGUAGAGGCAAGUGGAAUUUCUAGUGUAGCGGUGGAAUGCGUAGAUAUUAGAAGGAACACCAGUGGCGAAGGCGACGUGCUGGGAUAUUAAUGACGGUCAGGGACGAAAGCGUGGGGAGCAAAUA
rnacentral:rRNA from 1 species